rnacentral:rRNA from 1 species
CCUACGGGAGGCAGCAGUGGGGAAUAUUGCACAAUGGGGGAAACCCUGAUGCAGCGACGCCGCGUGAGUGAAGAAGUAAUUCGUUAUGUAAAGCUCUAUCAGCAGGGAAGUAAAUGACGGUACGUGAGUAAGAAGCCACGGCUAACUACGUGCAAGCAGCCGCGGUAAUACGUAGGGGGCAAGCGUUAUCCGGAUUUACUGGGUGUAAAGGGAGCGUAGACGGCAGGGCAAGUCUGGAGUGAAAGGCUGGGGCUCAACCCCCGGACUGCUCUGGAAACUGUACGGCUGGAGUACAGGCGAGGUAAGUGGAAUUCGUAGUGUAGCGGUGAAAUGCGUAGAUAUUAGGAGGAACACCAGUGGCGAAGGCAGCUUACUGAACUGUAACUGACGUUGAGGCUCGAAAGUGUGGGUAGCAAACAGGAUUAGAUACCCGAGUAGUC